GUGCUUGCCUCGGCAGCACAUAUACUAAAAUUGGAAUGAUACAGAGAAGAUUAGCACGGCCCCUGCGCGAGGAGCGCUUUGCACAGUGUGCCUAAUAUGCAACAUAUAU